AUUGAACGCUGGCGGCAUGCUUUACACAUGCAAGUCGAACGGUAACAGGGAGCUUGCUCCGCUGACGAGUGGCGAACGGGUGAGUAAUGCGUCGGAACGUGCCGAGUAGUGGGGGAUAACGCAGCGAAAGUUGUGCUAAUACCGCAUACGUACUGAGGUAGAAAGUGGGGGACCUUCGGGCCUCACGCUAUUCGAGCGGCCGACGUCUGAUUAGCUGGUAGGUGAGGUAAAGGCUCACCUAGGCGACGAUCAGUAGCGGGUCUGAGAGGAUGAUCCGCCACACUGGGACUGAGGCACGGCCCAGACUCCUACGGGAGGCAGCAGUAGGGAAUUUUGGACAAUGGGCGAAAGCCUGAUCCAGCCAUGCCGCGUGUCUGAAGAAGGCCUUCGGGUUGUAAAGGACUUUUGUCGGGGAGGAAAUCCCCAGCGCUAAUACCGCUGGGGGAUGACAGUACCUGAAGAAUAAGCACCGGCUAACUACGUGCCAGCCGCCGCAGUAAGAC
rnacentral:rRNA from 1 species